rnacentral:snoRNA from 1 species
AGCCAAACCUGUCAGGGCAAUAAAAAUAUAUUAAAAAAAAAAACUACAUACAGGUGCUAAAAAUAAAGCCUCUUUUGCAACCCAGAACUCAUUGCUCAGUAUGAGUUUUGAUACAUAUAAGAAGGAACGUG